rnacentral:rRNA from 1 species
CCUACGGGAGGCAGCAGUGGGGAAUAUUGCACAAUGGGGGGAACCCUGAUGCAGCAACGCCGCGUGGGUGAAGAAGUACUCCGGUAUGUAAAGCCCUGUCAGCAGGGAAGAAAAGGACGGUACCGGACCAAGAAGCCCCGGCUAACUACGUGCCAGCAGCCGCGGUAAUACGGAGGGGGCAAGCGUUAUCCGGAUUUACUGGGUGUAAAGGGAGCGUAGACGGCAAGGCAAGUCUGGAGGGAAAGCCCGGGGCCCAACCCCGGGACUGCUUUGGAAACUGUAUGGCUGGAGUGCAGGAGAGGUCAGUGGAAUUCCUCGUGUAGCGGUGAAAUGCGUAGAUAUUAGGAGGAACACCAGUGGCGAAGGCGGCUUACUGGACUGUACCUGACGUUGAGGCUCGAAAGCGUGGGGAGCAAACAGGAUUAGAUACCCCUGUAGUC